UGGUACUUACUUAAAAAAAGUAAAUUGACCUUAAUCAGUUUUUAUCAACCUGCUGUUAACACUUGCUUUUAGUGAGUUACUUGUACUUUGAGGUUGAAAAAUCUUACCAGCUCAGUCUACUUGAGCUGGAUUCAUAUAGAAAAAGUAAGUUUAUGACAUGUGGACAUGCGCAGAUCAGUCCUCUCUGAAAUGCCUAAACCCAACCAAUCAAGGUGCUUCGGGGGGCGGGUCUUGGCGUUGCGGGAAUCAUAAUUUUUGCAGACAGUCGUUACAAGUCACCUCACCACAUGCCGCAACUGACCAGGUGGAGCUGGACCUAUACAUCGCUUCUACGGCACUUUUGAUUAUCUUCAGCCGAGAUUCUUGUGCUUGGCACACUUAUUUGGUGAGUAAAUAUUUUACCUGUGUGCACACCGUUUUGUAUCUGUAAGUCUGCGCCAGUAUUUUGCGCUUGAUUUGCGUGUAGUAAUGUCUGCUUACGCUGGCUAACCAUAUAAAAGACAUAACGUGGCUAUAUUUUGCUGAAACUUGGUCAAUACUUUAUUAUUUUUUCAAUCCACAACUUCCUCGGUGUUGAAAAUUGGAAACUUUAAAGACUUUUGACACGUUAAAAUUCAGGAAUAACUUCAGUCUUAUGCAGCGCCGCAAGUCGUCAAAGUAUCGCGAGAGCGAGACGAAAUAAGAUUACUUGAAUCAUUCUCGCGGUACUUUGACGUCAUCCGGCUGUCGGUUCUUGCGGCGCCGCAUGAAGUCGAACAAGCCUAGUAAGGUAACUUUUGUCGAGUAACGUACUGACUAGCAUGAUGACAGACUGAUCCCGGUGGUUUGUGAGUUUCCUGAGCUUUAUAACUGAUUUUUAUAAGUUUAGGCAGAACAAGUAUGUAUGUAUCAUUUUAUUUUAAGCUAGGCUGUAAAGUUAGCACUAAUGCUAAUUUAGCUACCAAUAAUAACAGUCUGUGCUUAUCAAAGACAAGAUUACCACGUGUGUCGACAUAUGAUUGGGGAUAUCCCCACAAUGUCAUUUUAUUUAACACUCGCACUUAACACUGGUCGAUAUUCGUACUUGUGCCGUUUCCAUGGUUACCACGUGUAGUACCCAGAUCAGACACGUUACAGACAAGAGUGUCUCCCUGUCUGAAUUUUUUUUACACAGUUUAUCAUAGCCUGUUAUGAUAGGGAACGUAUUUGCUGGCAUACUCCGUUGCUUACAUUAUUAUUCAAGGUCAUCUUGUACAUAAUAUGCACAUUUUAAUAAGGGGAACUGUCUGUGGGUUAUAGGGCUAUGUUAGUUUUCACAUGUAACGUUACUUGUUUGUGAGUUGUGGUGAACUUUGGUUGUAUUAAAUUGUUUUAUUUUUUUUUAAACUGUCCUCUUUCAGGCUCAAGCAGAAUGGUAAUCAAUCCUCCUCACAUUCCAUAAUCCCAGCAAUAAAAGAUACUGUGGACAGUCCAUCAUACCCAGGACUACAGUAUCCUAGAUGCCAACCACAAAAGUGUUUGCUGAGUUUAAUAGAAUCGCCAGUAAGAAUCUUGAGGGAGACUUGAGGCUUUGGACCAGUAUGCCCCACGUUUCAUCGAACUUUUCAAAACAAAAAGGGAACUGUUGGCCAGAAACUCAAGGAGCUGAUGCAGCACAUGAGCUGGCUGACACCAGGCUCUAGAAUGCAUCACUGUUGGUGUCCUGACGGUUGUCAGUGAAGAUAGUCCUCACGAGGGUCAAAGCUUAGUGGUCCUCCAGCCCAUCUCCACUGCCAUCAUUCUGGAGGGAGGUAUUGUUAUGGAUAAUGUUAAGGACUUGCCUCAAGUCUUUUGUUUGGGCUUACCCAAAAUGCAUGGCAAAUACACUCAACUUUAUUUAGACUGUGAUGCUUGGACUGGGAAAGAAAAACCUCCCAUCAAAACGGUUGACUCUGAAGAACAGUCUUCUGGGUUAAAGAGGUGUCCGAUAGAACUUUGUAAGCUUUGCAGCCAUUAAUGUUUUCCUGUUAUUAGAUACAGUUUGAUGCUUUCAUGCAAACUGUAUUUGCUUCUGAUCUUAAUAAAAAGAAAUUCCAUUAAAGUCUGUAAUGUUAUCCAGGUAUGCUAAAGUUGGAAAUGGAGCCACCGUGUUUUAUUAAGAGUUGUUAGUUGUUAUUAGAUGAUAAUGUCAGAAAAUAACCUACCACGGUGGUCCUGUUUACAUUUGUGUUUUAGGAAAGCUUUUUAUAGUUUUUAAUGUAGUACAAAUACAAACCCCAAGGAGUGAUGUUUUUGUUUGUUGCUUUAAUCCUUUCACUGCUCACUUUGGGACACAAAAGCAUUUGUUGUACUUUCAGUUAAAAAUGCAAUUUUUAACUGAAUGCAAUUUUUUUAAUGUAAAGAAAGUUACAUUUUAACUGUAUACAGUUAAAUCAACCACAACUUUG